UUACUAAAUCAGGACUAAAUUUCACACAGAUUUAGGAAAAAAAAAAAAAAAACACUAAACUACUCAAUAACCUCCAUUGAAUGACAUGCCAAAGUUCUCUCCAAGACCCUUCUCCUCACUCAGGUAGAGAGUCCCAAAAAACUUAGAGCUCCAAAGAAGUUCAUCUACGAGGAUUUUUUCACAUAAAAAACAGAAAAUCUGUCUUCUAAGUGAAGCAGUGAGCUCUAAUGCUGCACUCUCUGGAUGCAAGGACAAUGAGGAAGACUCCUCUUCCCUCUCAGUGGUAGAAGGUAUAGUGGUGAAUAUGUCUUGGGGCCCAGCAGGGCUUGCCUCAGUGUCGGGGGAAGAAACAACAACUUCUGCUGUCUCCCCAGGGCCAGGCCUGUAAGCAGCACUCUUUUGGGCAGCUGCACAGAACUCAGCUUCUCCAGGCAGCUAUGGAGAGACAGACCCUGGGAGGCAAAGGCCAUGGAGAGACCACGACAGCAACUAGAAAGUGUCUUAUGGUCAGACUGGUCCCCAGGAGCAGUGUAUCUCGGUUCAGUUUAGUGACCGCUGUGAUCCUGGACUCCAUUGGCUCAUGGGGGUUGGCGUUUGACACAGGCAAGACCUCUGGGUUGCAGAUCUUACUCCAACCGACCACUAGAUGGCACUAUUUGGAGACGUCUUCAUUCACCACCUAGUCUUACCAUACGUUCUCCCCUCUGCCUUGGAGAUCAGGUUUUCCAAGGUCUCAAGAGCUUGAUGAGCCUCUUUAGAUGGACACUUUCUUUGCAGAUCAUCUCCUGUCCUCGCGCAGAACUACAAGCAGAAAUCCUACAGACAGUUGUGAUAAAGAGAGGCGAUUCUGUCGAAAUGAAGUCCGGCCAGUUGGUGAUUUUGCUCCAGCUGUGAACAGGUUAAAUUAUGCAGCAUAGCACAUUUCAUCCAUCUUUCAUCAGAAAGAACAGACUUGGUGCUCUGAUGCUGUGAUGGAGGCAUAGUGGUUCUGGGGAAGUGGAUCUAUGUACUUGAAAAGUCAAAGGGUUGAGAGGAUAAAGGAACGGUUUUUCUCUUGCUGAAGAGAAGUGAGUUUGGCAUGACUCUUGGACCUCCAGGGGUAUCCCUGCUCCUAGCAAAGGCAGCUUCAGGCUCUGGUAGUCUGCGAACACGAGGAAUUUAGAGGCAGAACCUCAUACUCUGCUGGUGGUUUCUCCUGUCUUCACUCGAGUAGGCAGGUAUGCCGCUCCAGAAACAAAGGGCGUGAUUUGUCGGGUUGGGAGCAUGUUUAACACCUUCAGGUUACUCACAAUGUAAUUAAUUCAUCAAAACGUCUUGAAUGGUUCCUGAAUGAUCCAAUAUUAGUCUCUAAACUGUCAUUGUUGUGUUACACCAUAUUGCAGUAAGAUUAUAAGUAGAUAUAGGUUAAGAUCGUACUUUCUCCUACAUCUGCAGUUCAGUUCAUUGCCUGGUACCUAAUUGGCACACUGAAUAAAUAAAAGAAUGGAUGAACUCA
rnacentral:lncRNA from 1 species